UACGUAGGGAGCGAGCGUUGUCCGGAAUCAUUGGGCGUAAAGAGCAUGUAGGUGGAUCAAUUAGUCUGCUGUGAAAGUCAAAGGCUCAACCUUUGAAAGCCGGUGGAUACUGUUGAUCUAGAGUACGGAAGAGGCGAGUGGAAUUCCUGGUGUAGCGGUGAAAUGCGCAGAUAUCAGGAGGAACACCGGUGGCGAAGGCGGAUCUCUGGGCCUUACCUGACGCCUGGAGG
rnacentral:rRNA from 1 species